rnacentral:sRNA from 1 species
GUCGGUUUGAAGAACAGACGAUAUACGAAGUAGUUUACUAAAGCAGUUCUCAUUUCAGGUGUUAUUCACUUAUUCCUUCUUUGAGUCUCUCCAAUUAAGUACGAAGUCGUUUCUGUUAUACAAGCCAUUUAUGCCGAAAGGCUCAAGUUAAGGAAUGUAGAAUGUCAAAUAAAAUGACUGGUUUAGUAAAAUGGUUUAACGCUGAUAAAGGUUUUGGCUUUAUUUCUCCUGUUGAUGGUAGUAAAGAUGUGUUUGUGCAUUUUUCUGCGAUUCAGAAUGAUAAUUUUCGAACCUUAUUUGAAGGUCAAAAGGUUACCUUCUCUGUAGAGAGUGGUGCUAAAGGUCCUGCAGCAGCAAAUGUCAUAAUUACUGAUUAAAAUUCAUAGUUUGUCUGUAUACGAUAACGAAGAAGGCUGAUGCCUGAGUGGAGAUACAGACAG